rnacentral:rRNA from 1 species
ACAUCUAGAGAACUUAGCAGAGAUGCUUUGGUGCCUUCGGGAACUCUGAGACAGGUGCUGCAUGGCUGUCGUCAGCUCGUGUUGUGAAAUGUUGGGUUAAGUCCCGCAACGAGCGCAACCCUUAUCCUUUGUUGCCAGCGGUUCGGCCGGGAACUCAAAGGAGACUGCCGGUGAUAAACCGGAGGAAGGUGGGGAUGACGUCAAGUCAUCAUGGCCCUUACGGCCAGGGCUACACACGUGCUACAAUGGCGCAUACAAAGAGAAGCGACCUCGCGAGAGCAAGCGGACCUCAUAAAGUGCGUCGUAGUCCGGAUUGGAGUCUGCAACUCGACUCCAUGAAGUCGGAAUCGCUAGUAAUCGUAGAUCAGAAUGCUACGGUGAAUACGUUCCCGGGCCUUGUACACACCGCCCGUCACACCAUGGGAGUGGGUUGCAAAAGAAGUAGGUAGCUUAACCUUCGGGAGGGCGCUUACCACUUUGUGAUUCAUGACUGGGGUGAAGUCGUAACAAGGUAAGCGUAGCGAG